GGACCCGAGGUAAGACCGCCCAUAGAAUUUUCAUUUCGCCGCAUUAUUUUUUCCCCUUCUCACUCCCUGCUUCGGUCCUUCGCCUUCCUCAUGUCCCCGACUCUCCGAUACUAGUCGAGUAGUCCGGUACAUCCCACCGCCUCGCACCGCGGCCAUGUUGACACCGCGCGUCCUCAAGGCUUCGCUGCUCCGCUGCUUGCGCGCUACCGCCGAGCUGCCUCCGUUGCGGCGACCCCGGAUCCUACCUGUGCGGGUUUACCAUUCCAGAGGCUAUUCUAGUGGGGGAAGCUCCAAGUAUGAUAGGCCAAUGAGACAGUUUUCCGAACAGAAUGAGUCAACCUCUCAGCCAUUAAUAUAUUACAUUGCUCCAUCUGCUCUGCUUGCUUUUGCUGGGAUAGCCACAUUUGUUCAUUACAAUGAUGAGAGGCGUGCAGUUCCCUUCGCUAAAGUACCAGGACAGACCAAUGUUCCCAAAAGAUGUACUACCAAUAGACCUGCAAUAGGAGGGCCAUUUAAGCUGUAUGAUACAGAAAACAGUGAGGUGACUGAAUCAAAGCUUCGGGGAAAGUGGAAUCUGAUGUACUUUGGCUAUACAUCAUGCCCAGAUGUGGGUCCAGCUGAAGUUCAGAAGAUAGCUGAUGUUGUUAAACUGUUAGAGUCAAAGUACGAUAUCAAUAUUACACCACUCUUUGUCACAAUUGAUCCACAACGUGAUUCACCUGCUCAGCUUAAGGCAUACCUUACUGAGUUUGACCCAAGAAUAGUAGGACUAACAGGUCCCAUCAGUGCAGUAAGACAGAUAGCUCAGGAGUACCGUGUUUUCUUUAAAAGAGUAGAGGAAGUUGGUCAGGACUAUCUUAUAGAAAGCUCUCACAAUAUGUACUUGCUAGAUCCAUGCUUGGAGACAGUAAGGUGCUUUGGAAGUGAGUACGAGGCAUCAGACCUUGCUGAGGCUAUAACAACAGAGGUUCAGAAAGCAUCUGCCUCAUCAACAAAUUAGUCUAGCGGUAUGGCAGCAUCAGCAGUUUUCCAAUCUUGCCGUGAAGCACCUCCUCGCCUGUUGCAUAGCCCUCACAGAAGGGCGUGACUCACAGUGGGCUGGCCAUUCAGCUCUGCCUGCAACCAACCGAUUCAAGUUCUCCUAUUCUCGCUCUUGUUGUGUCAGAUCUGAGCUUAACUGUACAGAAUGGUCUUCUUGCGACGAAGUCUCCUGGCAGUUCCAGAUCACUUACAAUUCUGCGAGAUGAGAAUGAUCUUACAAUUUCCAGCAAACAUUAACCUGCUGCAUUGGAUGAGGCAUAUGACCUACAGACUUACCAGGUUGUUAGCACAGAUUCAUGAACCUGCUUUGCUCUCUCCUCUGGAUGCUGAACAGGUAGUACUCGAUACGUGCUUUUUGUCUACCCGCCGGCACGACAGCAGCCACCUGCUGCCAUUAUGCCUGCCCGAGGCCGAGGGCCUCGCCAUCCUCAUUUCAUAUUCGCGGUUGUGUUUGUUCUAGGGCCUAGCUAGGUGUUGACAUCGUGUGAGAGCCUCCUUUUGCCACUGGAGUGAGUAGAGUUAAGCCUGUUGUGCAGUAGUAGUGGACCAGUGUUAGCUGUAGCACCUUUUGUUUUAUUUUAUAGUCCCGUGUGCUCGUGCGUUUGGUGUAAGCUGACGCCUGCAAUUUAGGCUUAGCCGGCGUGAUCUUAUGAUGAUUUUUGCCUUGUUAAAUGUUGAUGGCCUGCUUACUGUGA